rnacentral:rRNA from 1 species
UACCCACAGGAAGAGAAAACAACCGUGAUUCCGUGAGUAGUGGCGAGCGAAAGCGGAAGAGGCUAAACCAUGGGUGUGUGAUAGCCGGCAGGUGUUGCAUUCGUGGGGUUGUGGGGUUCAUUUUGUCAAUACUGCCGUGUUGGCCAACAGUAAGAAAUCACAGGGUUAGUGGAAGUGGUCUGGAACGGCCUGUCGUAGAGGGUGAGAAUCCCGUACACGAAAACUUUGUGACUGUUGUAAUGGAAACCCAAGUAGCACCGGGCCCGUG